rnacentral:rRNA from 1 species
AGUGAACGCUGGCGGCGUGCUUAACACAUGCAAGUCGAACGAGAAACGGAUUUAGCUUGCUAAAUUGCAGUCUAAGUGGCGCACGGGUGAGUAAUGUAUAGAUAAUAUGCCUUUUACUAAGGGAUAACAGUUGGAAACGGCUGCUAAUCCCUUAUAUGCCUUUAAUACAUAAGUAUGCAAGGGAAAGAUUUAUUGGUAAAAGAUUAGUCUGUAUUGUAUCAGUUAGUUGGUGAGGUAAUGGCUAACCAAGACUAUGACGCAUAACUGGUUUGAGAGGAUGAUCAGUCACACUGGAACUGAGACACGGUCCAGACUCCUACGGGAGGCAGCAGUGGGGAAUAUUGCACAAUGGGGGAAACCCUGAUGCAGCAACGCCGCGUGGAGGAUGACACAUUUCGGUGCGUAAACUCCUUUUAUAUAGGAAGAUAAUGACGGUACUAUAUGAAUAAGCACCGGCUAACUCCGUGCCAGCAGCCGCCGUAA